UUUAGAAACAACGGUAACAGCCGACACAACAAUCCUGCUGUGCUAAAACACAAUGGAUCUCAAGUGUGGGUCACAAUGAUACUGGAUUUACACGCGGAAAUUAUCAGCAAAGAGUAGGAGAAACGACUGGAAAGGAAGAAAGAGAAGAAGGCAGAAGAGAAGAGAAUGAAGUAAGGGGGACAAAAAGACAAGAGACACAUUGACAGAAGGAAGAACAGACAAGAGGGGCAUUGGGAAGAUGAAGCAUGGAAGGAUAAACCCUCUCGUACUGUGAUAAGGAUGAAAUGCCAGAAGAACCUAAAGCUGGCCUUAUGCUUUUUCAUUUAACAAGGUGGUGGGUAGGUGGGGCAGGGGGGUUGGUAGGAUGGCAUUAUGUGCAGAAGGCUUGGUGACUCAAAGCAGUAUCCUUUUUCUCACCAGUAAUAUCUGGUCUGGGAUUAUUACUGCUUUCUUGGUGAUUUUAGGCAUUCCCUUCUCCUUCAGAAAUGCCAAAGGAGCAAACACUAUUCUGCGGCUGUAAUUUGUCACCCUUGCAGCCUGAGCAAGAUGCAGACAGUUCAGUAAUUAAGCUUUUCAACGUGCAUCAUAAAGUUUUAUUCUGGCAAAAGCUAUAUUUAUCAGCUAACAAGUAUUAAAUCACCCUACUGCUCAAGUCGUUUCUCACUUGAAUAUGCUCCUUUCAAAACACAGCAGCUUUCCCUGGCUGGCUUGACUAAUAAAAGUCCUUACUUGGAAAUACGGUGGUGAUGUGUGGUCUUGCGAAGUAGAAAUACAUCCGAACACUGUUCUAAGCCUGGCUGACUCCCAUCUUCUGAGGGGGUAAUGGUGGACAUCUUUGCCCUGCGGUCUUUUAUAGCAUUCUUCCAAUAGCUACUAGGACAUGGAUUUCCUUAGCUAUUUCUUUUCUAAAGGGAAAGAAGCAGGUUGAAGUUCAAAUGCGGCAGACAUCUUCAGCACGAUUGAAACAGUGAGGUGACAAUGAACUCUUUAUUGGGGAGGAUGGAGUCUCUGCUCAUGUUGUAACGUCUUAACAAACGUACAGAAGUCAUGGGAUAAUAUGCAUAGAAUGAAGAGCUAUGAAAUGUCUUAGGAAUGUCUUGCAAGAAUGAUUCUAUAACUAAUGUAUUUUCCUCUUUACAGGUUUUCCCUCCCUUGUAGGACAUAAGUAUUCCAUGGUUCAUAAAGGUUCAGGACAUUUUCUGUCCAAUGACUUCAGAUGUAUAUCUGUUUAAAACAAAAUAGUAAAGACAGUUGAAUGGAUUUUUCGGUAUUUCAAGAAAAAAUAAAGACAAAUAUGUAUCAAACAUGGACCAGAAUCAUGCAAUAAAUCAAUUUUCAUUAUUUUAUAUCAGAAACUACAUUUUCUUUUUCCUAUCUACGCUUUCAAAU
rnacentral:lncRNA from 1 species